GCAUAUGAGGGCAAUCUGGCUGCAACAUCUGUCACCCCAUUGAUCACGAGGGUUCAUUUAGCUGAUCUGGAUGGCUAGCUGAGUGUCCUCUCUCACCGCUUCAUGUACAUGCCUGCCAAAGCUGCAUGCUCAGUGGAAGAAAACAAUCUUCCCUAAUAGAAGGGGAUGUGAUGGUCAAGGAUAUAUUAUAGCUGAACUCCCCAGCUAAAACCUCCAAACAUCCUGCAAGAAAAUGCUGGUUUCAAGCUGCUCUUUCCAGAAGUGGACCUUUCAAAUCU